rnacentral:rRNA from 1 species
AGACUGGAUAGGAAACAAAAAGGCAUCUUUUUGUUUUUAAAAGACCUUCUUACGAAGGUAUGCUUAAAGAGGGGCUUGCGCCACAUUAGUUAGUUGGUAGAGUAAAAGCCUACCAAGACGAUGAUGUGUAGCUGGACUGAGAGGUUGAACAGCCACAUUGGGACUGAGACACGGCCCAAACUCCUACGGGAGGCAGCAGUAGGGAAUUUUCGGCAAUGGAGGAAACUCUGACCGAGCAACGCCGCGUGAACGAUGAAGUAUUUCGGUAUGUAAAGUUCUUUUAUUGAAGAAGAAAAAGUAGUGGAAAAACUAUAUUGACGUUAUUCAAUGAAUAAGCCCCGGCUAACUAUGUGCCAGCAGCCGCGGUAAGACAUAGGGGGCGAGCGUUAUCCGGAAUUAUUGGGCGUAAAGGGUGCGUAGGCUGUUAGAUAAGUCUAUAAUUUAAUUUCAGUGCUUAACGCUGUCUUGUUAUAGAAACUGUCUUGACUAGAGUGAGAUAGAGGCAAGCGGAAUUCCAUGUGUAGCGGUAAAAUGUGUAAAUAUAUGGAGGAACACCAGAAGCGUAGGCGGCUUGCUGGGUCUUUACUGACGCUGAGGCACGAAAGCGUGGGUAGCAAACAGGAUUAGAUACCCUGGUAGUCCACGCCGUAAACGAUGAGUACUAAGUGUCGGGGUAAAACUCGGUACUGAAGUUAACACAUUAAGUACUCCGCCUGAGUAGUACGUACGCAAGUAUGAAACUUAAAGGAAUUGACGGGACUCCGCACAAGCGGUGGAUCAUGUUGUUUAAUUCGAAGAUACACGAAAAAUCUUACCAGGUCUUGACAUACUCUGCAAAGCUAUAGAAAUAUAGUGGAGGUUAUCAGGGAUACAGGUGGUGCAUGGUUGUCGUCAGUUCGUGUCGUGAGAUGUUAGGUUAAGUCCUAAAACGAACGCAACCCUUGUCGUUAAUUGCCAGCACAUAAUGGUGGGGACUUUAACGAGACUGCCAAUUAAACAUUGGAGGAAGGUGAGGAUUACGUCAAAUCAUCAUGCCCCUUAUGAUCUGGGCUACAAACGUGAUACAAUGGCUGUGACAAAGAGUAGCUGAAACGCGAGUUUUUAGCCAAUCUCAAAAAAGCAGUCUCAGUUCGGAUUGAAGUCUGUAACUCGACUUCAUGAAGUUGGAAUCGCUAGUAAUCGCGAAUCAGCAUGUCGCGGUGAAUACGUUCUCGGGGUUUGUACACACCGCCCGUCAAACCACGAAAGUUAGCAAUGCCCGAAAGCAGUAGCUUAACUUCGCAAGAAGAGGGAACUGUCUAAGGUAGGGUUGAUGAUUGGGGUUAAGUCGUAACAAGGU